AACGAACGCUGGCGGCAUGCCUAACACAUGCAAGUCGAACGAAGGCUUCGGCCUUAGUGGCGCACGGGUGCGUAACGCGUGGGGAUCUGCCCUUUGCUUCGGAAUAACAGUUAGAAAUGACUGCUAAUACCGGAUGAUGUCGUAAGACCAAAGAUUUAUCGGCAAAGGAUGAACCCGCGUAGGAUUAGCUAGUUGGUGGGGUAAAGGCCUACCAAGGCGACGAUCCUUAGCUGGUCUGAGAGGAUGAUCAGCCACACUGGGACUGAGACACGGCCCAGACUCCUACGGGAGGCAGCAGUGGGGAAUAUUGGACAAUGGGCGAAAGCCUGAUCCAGCAAUGCCGCGUGAGUGAUGAAGGCCUUAGGGUUGUAAAGCUCUUUUACCCGGGAUGAUAAUGACAGUACCGGGAGAAUAAGCUCCGGCUAACUCCGUGCCAGCCGCCGCAGUAAUAC
rnacentral:rRNA from 1 species